rnacentral:snoRNA from 1 species
ACCUGCAUUUGCGAGGAGUUGAGGACUCACCUGUGACCCGGUUGUUGAUAGUGCCGGGAGAGGAGCUCCAGAAGCGUUUCCUGUGUUCAGUGGGUUCAGUCCCGUUACUCCCAAACCCUGUAGCCUCCAGACA